UGCCAGGGAGCCUUGGAGCAGUGGCGUGGGUUCUCACUAUGUUGCUUAAGCUGGUCCAGAACUCAAGCCAGUCUCUCACUUCAGCCUCUUGAGUCGUUGGGAUUACAGAAGCCACCAUGUCCAACUGUAAGUUCAAAUUUUUUAUAUUAACUUUAUAGAUAAAAAACAAAACAAUGAAACUUCAGUGUGUUGUUGUCUUGGAUUUUCUUUUGUUUUGAGCAGAAAGGGGAUUCAUUGGAGGAAAAUUAGGUAGCCCAAAUAGUAAACAAGAAGUCUAGAGAACCAGGCUCAGAAAAUGGGAAGGAACGAGGAGAGUCCGAACAGCAAAGACAUAGAUAAGACCAACAGGAACUAGUCUGGCGAGCAUGCCAUUGCUGGCCCCACUGCCACAGGACUCUUGAUCCUGUUGCUUGCAAAAUGUUGAAGCUGGGGGUUGUGGUUGUGAAAGUGGAUCCUUUGAAUUGAGUUGUUCUUAUCCCCAGCUAAAACAGUGGAAAAGCCAGGGGGAGAAAGCACUCAGGACAUAUGACAUUACUUUAGAAAUGUAGUUCUCGGCCGGGUCCAGUGACUCACGCCUGUAAUCCUAGCACUUUGGGAGGCUGAGGCGGGCGGAUCACGAGGUCAGGAGAUCAAGACCAUCCUGGCUAACACGGUGAAACCCUGUCUCUACUAAAAAUACAAAAAAUUAGCCGGGCGUGGUAGCGGGCGCCUGUAGCCCCAGCUACUCGGGAGGCUGAGGC
ensembl:lncRNA IQCH-AS1 IQCH antisense RNA 1